UCUCUGCCCAACUCUCCAGUCUGUCCAGAUCUUGCUGAAUGCCAACACAGCC
rnacentral:miRNA from 7 species